GCGCGGCCGCGGUGGUCCGGCCGCGGGCCCCCGAAGGCGGCCGAGGGAGAGCCGGCGCACAGUCCGCCGUGGACUCUAUAGCUCAGAGGAGAGGGACCCGAGGAGGAGGCUUCCAUCACGUCAUUGCAGAUUACUUUGCAAUAAAGGAAUCCUAUGACUGAAGGGGAAAUCUCUUUGAAGGCACUUCCCUGUUUGAGAGGCAAAGCAGGCUGUGACUCUAAAAGCUGGAGGAAGCUAAUCUUAUCACCUAUGGGAAACUCGCCACCUCACUCUGCUUUUAUGCAAUUACAACACACACCCUGGAUAAUGCAUUAAAUUCUCUAAUUGUAGUAGGAGUGUUGCAGGAAAGUUGAUAGAUGUGUGAUAUUGUACUUACAGUUAAUAAAAACCCAGCAGCUCUAUGAGAUUUCAUUGCCAACUGCUUUUUCUAGGAAUCUAAAUCUCAUCAAAUUUUCAAGCUAUCUUUAAUUUUCCCUUUUUGAUCAUUUUACAAAUUAAGAUUCAUCUAACAUUUGUUGAAUGCAUAACACAUGCCAGGUUAUACUAGACACAUUCCUGCAUAGUAUGUAAUUUAAUCUUUACCACAACUCUGAGGAUUUAUCUUAUGCAAGUUUUAUUGAUUGAGGCAAUUGGUUAUAACCAAGAAUAUAACCAUUUAUGCAAGCAUUCAUUCAACAGAUAGCUAUUGAACUUCUUCUUUGUAUAGCAGUAACAGCAACAGUAAUAAAAUAGUAUGGUUAUUGUCGCUAGCAUGAUCCUUUAUAUUAUGUUUCCACAUACAUGGUUGCACUUAAUUCCUGGAUAAGCCAGUUACUCACACAUGUAAAAACAACAACAAGCAAACAUCUUUCUAUACACCAACUCGUCACUAAGUGAUUAAAAUUAUGUAUAUGGAAAUAA